rnacentral:rRNA from 1 species
GAGUUUGAUCAUGGCUCAGAACGAACGCUGGCGGCAGGCUUAACACAUGCAAGUCGAGCGCCCCGCAAGGGGAGCGGCAGACGGGUGAGUAACGCGUGGGAACGUACCCUUUACUACGGAAUAACGCAGGGAAACUUGUGCUAAUACCGCAUGUGCCCUUCGGGGGAAAGAUUUAUCGGUAAGGGAUCGGCCCGCGUUGGAUUAGCUAGUUGGUGGGGUAAAGGCCUACCAAGGCGACGAUCCAUAGCUGGUCUGAGAGGAUGAUCAGCCACAUUGGAACUGAGACACGGUCCAGACUCCUACGGGAGGCAGCAGUGGGGGAAUAUUGGACAAUGGGCGCAAGCCUGAUCCAGCCAUACCGCGUGGGUGAAGAAGGCCUUCGGGUUGUAAAGCCCUUUUGUUGGGAAAGAAAUCCUGCCGGUUAAUAACCAGUAGGGAUGACGGUACCCAAAGAAUAAGCACCGGCUAACUUCGUGCCAGCAGCCGCGGUAAUACGAAGGGUGCAAGCGUUACUCGGAAUUACUGGGCGUAAAGCGUGCGUAGGUGGUUGUUUAAGUCUGCUGUGAAAGCCCUGGGCUCAACCUGGGAAUUGCAGUGGAUACUGGGCGACUAGAGUGUGGUAGAAGAUAUGGAA